GAGCAGGCUUCCUCCACAAAAUUAAACUCGCCCAAAUUGCAAACUUUCAGGGAGGAAAAUGAACCAUAAUCGAAACUGAAACCCUAAAUCUAAACCCUGAGCUCGAAAUCAAGGUCCUUCACGCCGUUGCUAAUUACUCAAACAGCCUACGCAAGCAUGAAGAAGCAGCUCCCAUUCCGUUUCUGUAGUUCUCGCAAUGGACGGACAACGUGAAGGUAAAUCUCAAGCUUAUGGGUUUUAAAAAUUUGACACUUAUGGGUUUUAAAAUUUUGGGCUUUGUAGUUGCUAUUCAUCUGAUACUUUUGGUUUUUGCAGCUGCUAAUUUAGGUUUUGCAGUUGCUAUUCCCGUAUCUGAAGAUUUUGAAGUUGCUAUUCAUGACAUUUUGGGUUUUACAAAUCUAAAAAAUAUUUAUUUACAUGGUUUCUUUUGGAAAUUGUCAUUGUACUCUUCCUCCCAACACUUGGAUUAAUUAGCAGAAUCCUGUGUCUCAUUUGAAUGACCUUUGUAACAUGAUUUAAUUUUUCAAUGGAUUUAGUUUGAUUCUGCUUGAGUUCUCGACUUGGAUACGAGGUUGAUCGGUUGAGUAGGGUUGAAUCAUUUGAUAGCUAAUUAAUCCCAACAUCUAUACUAUAGUAGCAAAUAUAUAUAUUUUAAAGUUUUGCCACAGUUUGUUGUUCUCCACUUGACGGUUUGCAUCUACUCUUGUUAAUGUGGGUUAAUUAUAUGACAGAUUGUGGAGUGAAUAGCCCAAAUGGUCACUAAACUUUGCACCAGGUCCGCAAAAGGUCACUGAACUUUCAAAAUUGUCUAACUCAUCACAGAACUUUGCGAAAAGUCCAUCAAAGGUCACUGAACUUUCAAAAUCGCCUCACUUAUCACUAAACUUUGCAUUUUGUAAUCUCAUUAGUCAUUCAGCUAACGGUCCAUCCAAAAACUAACCGAAUACUCACGUGGCCGGCUGAUGUGGAUGCCAAGUCAAACAAAAGAAGUACACGUGAAUUUUUAUUUAAAUUAAAACAUGUUUUAUUAAAAUAAUAAUAAUAAUAAUAAUAAUAAUAAAUAAAACAUGUUUACGGUGGUGACUGUUGCUACAACAGUUUAUGGAAUUUUCAAUUUUUUUAUUUUUAUAAAACAUGUUUUAAUUCAAAUAAAAAUCCACCUGUACUUCUUUUGUUUGACCUGGCAUCCACAUCAGCCAGCCACGUGAGUAUUCGGUUAGUUUUUGGAUGGACCGUUAGUUGAGUGACUAAUGAGAUUACAAAAUGCAAAGUUCAGUGAUGAGUGAG
rnacentral:lncRNA from 1 species